rnacentral:rRNA from 1 species
GUAUAUGGCCAUACCACCCUGACUGAACCCGAUCUCAUCUGAUCUCAGAAGCUAAGCAGGGUUGAGCCUGGUUAGUACUGGAUGGGAGACCACUGGGAUACUGGGUGCUGUAAGGC